UAGACUGAUUUCUAAUUUAAAAACAAAGAAAAAUAGAAGACUUUUGUUAGGGAAUGAGGAAAACUUCAUUUGUCAUGAAAGAUGAUGCAAAUUGUUGGAGUUUGAAACUCAAUGAGAAAAAAAUGUGAAUUGAAAGAAAAAAAUGUGAGAGGAGAUGACACCAUUAAUAAACAGCCUGGGUUGUAACUGGGUGUGACCUUAUGGAUCUAGAGUGGGUCUGCUUUAACUGUAGUUCCCAACACAGGAUUGGGCACAUAGUAGGUCCUAAAGGUAUAUCUAUUGCCUAAAUAUAUGAAUGGCCUGAAAUAAGAAACUCACUUAAGUCUUGAUGAAGGGGAAGGUUUUUAGACGUUUCAGAUAUUUACAUAACCUCCAACAGUUCAAUUUGCAUUUUCAACGUAUGGCUUCUAAUGCCUCUUGCGUCUUGCUUACUGCAACAGACUGAAUGUUUGUGCCCACCUAAAAUUCAGAUAUUGAAAUCUUAACCUCCAAUGUGAUGGUGUAAGUAGGUGGGGCCUUUGGGAGGCAAUUAGGUCAUUAGGACAGAGUCCUCACAAACCAGAUUAGUGUCCUUAUAAAAGGGACCUCAGAGAGCUCUCUUUCCCUCUUUCCACCAUGUGAAGAUACAGCAAGAACAGCCAUUUAUGAACCAGGAAUCAGAUUCUCACCAGAAACCAGAUCUGCUGUAUCUUGACCUUGAACUUCCUAGCCUCCUGAACUGUAAAGAGAUAAAUAUUUGCUGUUUAAGCCACCAGGUCUAUGGGAAAUUUGUUAAAGUAGCCUGAACUGGUUCACACACCUGCUUUAGGUUUACUAUCUUCUUCAGUAUGUGAGAGAAAUUGGUGUUUCUAUAGCAAGAAAUCAGAUAUGAAGAGUGGAACCAUUUAUUUCAAUCAAGGUAAACAUCUAGUUUUCUGGAAUGGAAAAAAAAAACAAACCCAACAAACAACAACACAAGAAACAGAAAUUGCUGAUUGGUGCUGACAGCUCAAGAAAUAAAAUUCGUAAGACAAAGUACCAGGUGGUAAUGAUCUCACGGUUUGUGGGAUUAAGCCCUGCAUUGGGCUCUGUACUGACAGCAUGGAGCCUGCUUGGGAUUCUUUAUCUCCCUCUCUCUCUCCCCCUCCCCAGCUCGUGCUCUCUCUCAAAAUAAAUGAAUAAACAUUUAAUAAAAAGAAAUAUACCAAA